rnacentral:snRNA from 1 species
UUGCUUUGGUAGCGGAUAUACUAAAAUCGGCACAAUAUGGAAGAGAUUAGCAUGGUGCUGGGCAAGGAAGACAGGCAAAUUUGUGAAGUAUUAAAAAAAAAU